rnacentral:rRNA from 1 species
UACGUAGGGUGCAAGCGUUAAUCGGAAUUACUGGGCGUAAAGCGUGCGCAGGCGGUUUUGUAAGUCUGACGUGAAAUCCCCGGGCUCAACCUGGGAAUUGCGUUGGAGACUGCAAGGCUAGAAUCUGGCAGAGGGGGGUAGAAUUCCACGUGUAGCAGUGAAAUGCGUAGAGAUGUGGAGGAACACCGAUGGCGAAGGCAGCCCCCUGGGUCAAGAUUGACGCUCAUGCACGAA